GGGGACGUCGUAUAACCUGGCUAUUAUUUCCGGCUCCAGUCAUGGAGCGAUGAGUCGAAAGACGAUGAUUACUCUGGGAAGAUACCGGACGAUCGGGGUUCAAAUCCCUGCGUCCCCA
rnacentral:tRNA from 1 species